UGCCGGAUUGUCCAAAGAUCCGACACUAUUCGUAGACACUGCUGUGGCCAGAACUUAGUAAACAUUAGGUUUUACCCGCAUGAGCUCAGGGUUUUGACGUCGUCACUUGCGGCUUGGGGGCCCGUUUCAGUAGAUCAGAUAGUUGCUGGAUGCCAGUGGAAAAUAACUCAUCCCUCCACCAGCUUGUAUUGGCGUCAUGUCAAUCCAUCCAUAGGGGCUUGCGGACAUUGGUACCUCUUGUGGCAGGGCAGCACCUCUCCUCCACCGACCUGUUUCCCCUUGAGGAAAAACAAAAGGGGGGGAAGUUGUAACAGGGGAUCACUAUCUUGGACUGAGAAUCUACACCAGGGGAACAUAUGAAGGUUUAUCAAAGAACACUAGCAGAAGAGCUAGUCAAGGGAGGUAAUCACGCAGGAUUGUUUUCUAUGUAGGUAAGGAUUACUUCCCUUGGUUUUCUUAAACAAUUUAUCUAAGGGAGUCUGUAACACAUCACCAAGUGACGAAGGAAAAGGCUCACAUAACCCAGAGUGUACUCAGCAUUACCGUCACACCAGGUCGAUCCCCUCUGAGAGAGUUCAUCGCCAUGCAGCAACUUGGAACCCGAUUUACAAGGCGACCGAGGGAUAUAGAUUGUCGCGAAUCUAUGCUGGGCGUUUCGACAGACAUAAUCAAAGGUAACAGCUGAGAGAUACCCUCUUCCUCACCACUACAAUCCGUAUCAGUUCUCCUUCGUAGCCACUUGAUCUAAAAUAUGUUGUGGCAUUUUAUAGAGCAACCUUCGUUUUAACCUUGGGCGUAGUUUGCCUCUUUCAAUUUCUACUCACAUUGGCCUUGAGAAGCCUCUCAAGACCAGACGUCGCUAGGGAGCUGUUUGGGCAUGCGUGACUGUAUUUAUUUCUUUGAUACCUAGAAACGCCAUUUCUUGGUAUCUUGAGUCUGAUUUUAUAUAACUGUCCUGAAAUAUACACAAACAGAAACAUAAUGAAAAUAGAGAAGAAUAAACCAGAUGCACCUACACAUCGCACAUGCUCAAAUUAUGUUGUUGUUUUUAAAUUACACAUGAUAUAACAACCCACUCCCGCCCCCAAAAGAAAAAGAAAAAAAUAGAAGCAAAAAAAAAAAAAGAAAACAAGGGAAAUGAAACAAACAAACAAACAACCCAAAAGCUCGUUGUCGCCAUGACCGCAUGGCUGGUUGUCAGAAUUUUAACUUUCAUGUGGAGAUACUAGUCUUCAUGACAAGUUUACAACCAUUUUGUUGUCGUCAGACAUAUGCUGUCUUGUGUAUUUGGUUCAAAUGCAGCUUCUGAACCUGGAAAGUAUCGUGCUAACGCGGUGAGGUCAGACAUAUGCUGUCUUCUGUAUUUGGUUCAAACGCAGCUUCUAAACCUGGAAAGUAUCGUGCUAACGGGGGGUCAGAGACGGCACAGCUGGGAUCAACCAUGGAACAUUCUACAGCGACAAGCUCUCUGGUUUGCAGGAUGUCGAAAAUGUGAACGUUCGCAGCAGAUGAAUGGAUGUACCUGACUGACAAACACUGGACAACGCGCCACGACAUGCAAAUCGUGUACGUCAAAACUACAAAAUUACCAAU